CUCACGCCUGCUGUGGAGGUUCGUAGUACUUGUGGUUGAUUUUGUGGGCAAGAGACUGAGACCCUUUGCCGUCACUCUUCUCUUCCAGCAUCAACUUCCGGCGCAGAAUGUCCUCCGCCGCCCUCUGUUUCUUCUUCAGAUCAUGAAGGUACAUCAUGAUGCCGAAUGAGUCCCCGUAUUUCAUGGAUUUGACUACGUUGGAUUGCACUGCCUGAGACACAAUGUUUUUGUAAUUAAUGUCAAAAAUGUUGGGGUAAAUGAAUCCUCGAAUGAUUUCCUCCGUUGGUUCCUCGCACGGUUCCGGCGAGAUGGAUUCCUCAUAGUCCAAAUCGUCCGACAUGUUGGGGGUAAGUCGGAGGUGAAAGAAGCGAACGGCUUCUAGAUCGAUUAUCGUCUUAGACUUGUUAAUUAUUAACGUACAAAAACUCCCCUUUGUCAAUAAUGGUUGUCAAUUUAGUCAAAUUGAGUCAAAUGCAAACAAAUCUUGAACAACACUUAACGUCGAAGCUGUCGAUUUCCGUAACACAUUGACAUAAGAAUACGUUAAAUGUCCAUUCUCUUCAAAUAUUUGUCCAUUGCUUUCUAAACAAUCCACUUUUUCUGUCGUUUAAAUACUUUCCCAAUAGUCGACAGAUUGAGCGAGCAGUAGAGUUCUCACAAUUAUACGCAAAAUGCACAGAAGACGUCUUUAAAUAUCCAGAUGCGCACGAAUUGUGUACUUUUCUCCUUUUCUUUUUUCUUUGUUAAGCACUUGCAGUGCACACCGACCCCCUCUGGUCUGAAUUACCAAGGGAUUGGAGAAGUACUGCCAAGAAUCGGAUACUGGCUGUCAAGCACCGUUCCUUGUUUCCCGUAUCUACGUACGCUAUACACAGACUAUAUCAAAGUCUUCAAAGAUUUCGGUCCACCUAUAUAUAUAUGCAUUUUCGUCUGUUGAAUAUAGCCCAACACAAUUUUUACAGCUUUAGACUCUCCUAUCAACUUGAAAGUGUCAUCUGCUGAAUUUAUGGCAAUAAACAGAUAGAGAAAAUUAAACCUACACGGUUAUAGCAGUAAUGCCAUAUUUGUCCAACCCAAUUCCCUGAAAUGCAUUAGUUGUACCUCUCAAUGUUAUCAGAAAAGACCAAAACAACACGGUUCCUUGGCUGGUAUCAUGGAACCUCUCAUAACGGGGAUUAAUAGACGAUUCAAUGAAAGAGCUCGAGAUGGAAGGUGAAGAAAAUAAUCCCAAGUGAUAGGGUUAAUACACCACGCCAAAUAUAUCGUACAAGAUAAGCCUGUUUUUCACUACCACUGUGCAAAUCGCUUACAAAUGUUGCAUCCAACUUGAAAGUUUUUCAUACGACAGUUAAAAAUGACGGUUGCGACUGGCUGCAUGCAGGUCUGGGACUACAACAAACACAAAUGGAUUUAAAUCUCUUUUUUAUCAGAGAGUUCGAAAUUGAAAUUUCGGUCUUCCGGAUAUGGGUUCGAUAAAGAGAUGUGAUAAUCCAAUACAUUACCCAAAAAUUGAAAGCGCAUAGUUUUGAGUAUUAUUUUUUUUAAAUCACAUUAACAUUAAAUGGAGUGUGUAU
rnacentral:sRNA from 1 species